CAGCCUGAGCCCCUGACCCUUUAAAUCACCGCCAGAGCCCCGCUGUUGGAGCCCUGGGGUAGUGGCUGGGAGCCCCGGGACUCCGGUGGUGAUUUAAAGAGCCGGGGCUCCCAGCCGCCACUUCUGCAGCCGGAAUCCCAGGCCCUUUAAAUCGCUGCUAGAGCCCUGCUGCUGGAGCUCCAGGGUAGUGGCUGGAAACCCCAGGGCUCUAGCGACAAUUUAAAGGACCUGGGGCUCCCAGCUGCUGCUACUGCAUCCAGAGCCCUGGGCUGUUUAAAUUGGGAUUUAAAAGUCCCAGGGAUUUAAUGGCCUGGCCUCUUUGUGUUGAAGCUCCCCUGCCCCCCGCUGAGGACCCCAGCCCUGUGUACUGACUGUAGGACUCCAGCCAGUCCCAAACUCCCCAGCUAGUCCAGAGAACCUGCCAAUGGAGGAGUUGUGUCAUUCUUCUGAGUGCUAGAGAACUACAAUCACUGAAAAUAUAACACUUCGGAUACCCAGGGAGAUGAUCUUUGAAUCCUUGUCUGUAGCUGGAUAUCCUUCAAAAAUGUUUGGUCAGUGACUCGGGGAUUUCCAUUGGAACUGUUACCAUGAAUCACUUAGCUCCUGACUUGUGCAAUGAGAGAAAGUAGAAAUAAAAUGACCUUUUAUGUUGUCUA